GAGGAAAGUCCGGGCUCCAUAGGGCAGGGUGCCAGGUAACGCCUGGGGGGGAAACCCACGACCAGUGCAACAGAGAGCAAACCGCCGAUGGCCCACGCAAGUGGGAUCAGGUAAGGGUGAAAGGGUGCGGUAAGAGCGCACCGCGCGGCUGGUAACAGUCCGUGGCACGGUAAACUCCACCCGGAGCAAGGCCAAAUAGGGGUUCACAAGGUACGGCCCGUACUGAACCCGGGUAGGCUGCUUGAGCCAGUGAGCGAUUGCUGGCCUAGAUGAAUGACUGUCCACGACAGAAUCCGGCUUA
rnacentral:RNase_P_RNA from 1 species